rnacentral:rRNA from 1 species
GAUGAACGCUGGCGGCGUGCCUAAUACAUGCAAGUCGAGCGAACGGACGAGAACCUUGCUUCUCUGAUGUUAGCGGCGGACGGGUGAGUAACACGUGGAUAACCUACCUAUAAGACUGGGAUAACUUCGGGAAACCGGAGCUAAUACCGGAUAAUAUUUUGAACCGCAUGGUUCAAAAGUGAAAGACGGUCUUGCUGUCACUUAUAGAUGGAUCCGCGCUGCAUUAGCUAGUUGGUAAGGUAACGGCUUACCAAGGCAACGAUGCAUAGCCGACCUGAGAGGGUGAUCGGCCACACUGGAACUGAGACACGGUCCAGACUCCUACGGGAGGCAGCAGUAGGGAAUCUUCCGCAAUGGGCGAAAGCCUGACGGAGCAACGCCGCGUGAGUGAUGAAGGUCUUCGGAUCGUAAAACUCUGUUAUUAGGGAAGAACAUAUGUGUAAGUAACUGUGCACAUCUUGACGGUACCUAAUCAGAAAGCCACGGCUAACUACAUGCCAGCAGCCGCGGUAAUACGUAGGUGGCAAGCGUUAUCCGGAAUUAUUGGGCGUAAAGCGCGCGUAGGCGGUUUUUUAAGUCUGAUGUGAAAGCCCACGGCUCAACCGUGGAGGGUCAUUGGAAACUGGAAAACUUGAGUGCAGAAGAGGAAAGUGGAAUUCCAUGUGUAGCGGUGAAAUGCGCAGAGAUAUGGAGGAACACCAGUGGCGAAGGCGACUUUCUGGUCUGUAACUGACGCUGAUGUGCGAAAGCGUGGGGAUCAAACAGGAUUAGAUACCCUGGUAGUCCACGCCGUAAACGAUGAGUGCUAAGUGUUAGGGGGUUUCCGCCCCUUAGUGCUGCAGCUAACGCAUUAAGCACUCCGCCUGGGGAGUACGACCGCAAGGUUGAAACUCAAAGGAAUUGACGGGGACCCGCACAAGCGGUGGAGCAUGUGGUUUAAUUCGAAGCAACGCGAAGAACCUUACCAAAUCUUGACAUCCUUUGACAACUCUAGAGAUAGAGCCUUCCCCUUCGGGGGACAAAGUGACAGGUGGUGCAUGGUUGUCGUCAGCUCGUGUCGUGAGAUGUUGGGUUAAGUCCCGCAACGAGCGCAACCCUUAAGCUUAGUUGCCAUCAUUAAGUUGGGCACUCUAAGUUGACUGCCGGUGACAAACCGGAGGAAGGUGGGGAUGACGUCAAAUCAUCAUGCCCCUUAUGAUUUGGGCUACACACGUGCUACAAUGGACAAUACAAAGGGCAGCGAAACCGCGAGGUCAAGCAAAUCCCAUAAAGUUGUUCUCAGUUCGGAUUGUAGUCUGCAACUCGACUACAUGAAGCUGGAAUCGCUAGUAAUCGUAGAUCAGCAUGCUACGGUGAAUACGUUCCCGGGUCU